rnacentral:rRNA from 1 species
UGGGGAAUUUUGGACAAUGGGGGGAACCCUGAUCCAGCAACGCCGCGUGAAUGAAGAAGGCUUUCGGGUUGUAAAGUUCUUUUAUUUGGGAGCAAAUGUUGUAUGUAAAUAGCAUAUGAAGCUGAGAGUACCAAAUGAAUAAGCACCGGCUAACUACGUGCCAGCAGCCGCGGUAAUACGUAGGGUGCGAGCGUUAAUCGGAAUUACUGGGCGUAAAGGGUGCGUAGGCGGAUAUAUAAGUUAGAUGUGAAAAGCCUGGGCUUAACCUAGGUCGUGCAUUUAAGACUGUAUGUCUAGAGUUUGUAAGAGGGGGGUAGAAUUCCAAGUGUAGCAGUGAAAUGCGUAGAGAUUUGGAGGAAUACCGAUGGCGAAGGCAGCCCCCUGGUAUAGAACUGACGCU